rnacentral:lncRNA from 1 species
AUGGCCCUGAAAUUUUCCUUUUUUCCUGUUUUUUUUUUGGGAAAAAUGGCUCCAAAUUCCCAGGUUUUGAUGGAUUUUCCUUCGAUUUUCCCCUCCCGGCAACGAAAUUCCCUCAAAAGGCUCCUGCAGCUGAAAAAUCCGAUUUUUUCAGGGAAAAAUCACAAAUUUUGGGGAAAAAAAUUGAAUUUUUUUACAUUUUUUCCCCCAUUUUUCCACCUGUUUUUAAUCUAUAAAUUCCUCAAAAUCUCCAGCAGAAAAAUUAAGACUUUUCCAGUGGAAAAUCUCAAAUUUUUGGGAAAAAAAUUGAAAUUUUAAAAAUUCUUUCCCAAUUUUUCCACCUUUUUUUUUCCCCCUAUAAAUUCCCCAAAAUCUCCAGCUGAAAAAUUGGAUUUUUCCAUAGAAAAAAAACUCAAAUUUUGGGGAAAAAAAAAGAUUUUUUUUUCCAUUUUUUCCCAAUUUUCCCACCUUUUUUCAUCUAUAAACCCCCCAAAAUCUCCAGAUGAAAAAUUGGAUUUUUCCAUGGAAAAAACUCAAAUUUUGGGGAAAAAAAUAUAAUUUUUUUUACAUUUUUUUCCCCAUUUUUCCACCUUUUUUUUGUGUCAAAAUCCCCCAAAAGCUACACGGAUUUUUCUAUGGAAAAAUCUCAAAUUUUUGGGAAAAAAAUUGAAUUUUUUUACAUUUUUAUCCCAUUUUUCCACCUUUUUUCAUCUAUAAACCCCCCAAAAUCUCCAGCUGAAAAAUCAGAUUUUUCCAUACAAAAAAACCUCAAAUUUGGGGGGAAAAAAUAAUAUUUUUUUUCAAUUUUUUUCCCAAAUUUUCCACCUUUUUUUGGCUAUAAAUCCCCCAAAAUUCCCCCAAAAGCUCCAGCUUAAAAAUCCGAUUUUUCCAUUAAAAAACCCUCAAUUUUUAGGUAAAAAAACUGAAUUUUCCGCCCAAUUUUUCUGCAUUUUUUCCCCACUUUUUCCACUUUAUUUUUGCUACAAAUCCCCCAAAAUUCAUCUUAAAAAAUCCCAUUUUUGGGGGGAAAAAAAUUGAAUUUUUUUGCGUUUUUCCCCCAUUUUUUUUUUGCAUUCCCCCCAAUUUUUCCCACUUUUUUUUUUUCCUUUUUUUUUUUUAACCCCUAAAAUUCCCAAAAUUGGGAAAUUUGGGAUUUGGAGCCUUUUUUUUUUUUAAAUUUUGAAUUUUUUGGGGGAUUUUUGUGCCCGG